UGGGGGAUAUUGCACAAUGGGGGAAACCCUGAUGCAGCGACGCCGCGUGGAGGAAGAAGGUUUUCGGAUUGUAAACUCCUGUCGUUAGGGACGAAUCAUGACGGUACCUAACAAGAAAGCACCGGCUAACUACGUGCCAGCAGCCGCGGUAAAACGUAGGGUGCAAGCGUUGUCCGGAAUUACUGGGUGUAAAGGGAGCGCAGGCGGACCGGCAAGUUGGAAGUGAAAUCUAUGGGCUCAACCCAUAAAUUGCUUUCAAAACUGCUGGCCUUGAGUAGUGCAGAGGUAGGUGGAAUUCCCGGUGUAGCGGUGGAAUGCGUAGAUAUCGGGAGGAACACCAGUGGCGAAGGCGACCUACUGGGCACCAACUGACGCUGAGGCUCGAAAGCAUGGGUAGCAAACA
rnacentral:rRNA from 1 species